CGCAUCUGUGCAUGCAGCAUAUCAAUAAGCGGAGGAAAAGAAACUAACAAGGAUUCCCCUAGUAACGGCGAGUGAAGCGGGAAGAGCUCAAAUUUGAAAUCUUAAAGGGUUUCCCUUUACGAAUUGUAGUUUAAAGAAGUGUUUUCUGUUGAGGUUUUGGUAAAAGUUCUUUGGAAUAGGACAUCAUAGAGGGUGAGAAUCCCGUAUUUGACCUUUACUUUCAACUUUGUGAUACACUUUCAAAGAGUCGGAUUGUUUGGGAAUGCAGUCCAAAAUGGGUGGUAAAUUUCAUCUAAAGCUAAAUAUUGGCGAGAGACCGAUAGCGAACAAGUACCGUGAGGGAAAGAUGAAAAGAACUUUGAAAAGAGAGUUAAACAGUACGUGAAAUUGUCAAAAGGGAAGCGUUUGACACCAGUGUUGUUUUUCUGAAAAUCAAUUAAAGAACUGUUUAUGCUAAGUUGUUUAGACUUUAUCAGCUAUCUGUUUAGUUUUGAGCUUUUCUUUAAUGCACUUUUCAGUUAACAAGUCAACAUCAAUUUCUUUUGCUGUAAAAAAGCUUGAGGAAGGUGGCUUGAGAUUCGUCUUAAGUGUUUAUAGCCUCUUGCCUAUGCAGUCGGAGAGAUUGAGGUCUGCAGCGUAGAUCCUUCGGGGCUAAAUGCAUUUGUGCUAAGUUAUAACAUUUUAUAGACAACUUGUUGACUAUGAUUUGUCUUGUAGCUUACUCGCUUAUGUUAUUUUACCUACGCUUAGGAUGUUGAAUCUGUGCGAGACUAC
rnacentral:rRNA from 1 species